AAGAAACUAACAAGGAUUCCCCUAGUAACGGCGAGUGAAGCGGGAAGAGCUCAAAUUUGAAAUCUGGUAGCCUUCGGUUGCCCGAGUUGUAAUCUAGAGAAGUGUUUUCCGUGCCGGCCCAUGUACAAGUCCCUUGGAACAGGGCGUCAUAGAGGGUGAGAAUCCCGUCCUUGACAUGGACCCCCGGUGCUUUGUGAUACACUUUCAACGAGUCGAGUUGUUUGGGAAUGCAGCUCAAAAUGGGUGGUGAAUUCCAUCUAAAGCUAAAUAUUGGCGAGAGACCGAUAGCGAACAAGUACCGUGAGGGAAAGAUGAAAAGCACUUUGGAAAGAGAGUUAAACAGUACGUGAAAUUGUUGAAAGGGAAACGAUUGAAGUCAGUCAUGCUCUUAGGAUUCAGCCGUUCUGCGGUGUAUUUCCUUUGAGUGGGGUCAACAUCAGUUUUGAUCGAUGGAUAAAGGCACGAGGAAGGUAGCACUCUCGGGUGAACUUAUAGCCUCGCGUCAUAUACAUUGAUUGGGACUGAGGAACGCAGCAUGCCUUUAUGGCCGGGAUUCGUCCACGUACAUGC
rnacentral:rRNA from 1 species